GACGAACGCUGGCGGCGUGCUUAACACAUGCAAGUCGAACGGAAAGGCCCUGCUUUUGUGGGGUGCUCGAGUGGCGAACGGGUGAGUAACACGUGAGUAACCUGCCCUUGACUUUGGGAUAACUUCAGGAAACUGGGGCUAAUACCGGAUAGGAGCUCCUGCUGCAUGGUGGGGGUUGGAAAGUUUCGGCGGUUGGGGAUGGACUCGCGGCUUAUCAGCUUGUUGGUGGGGUAGUGGCUUACCAAGGCUUUGACGGGUAGCCGGCCUGAGAGGGUGACCGGGCACAUUGGGAAUGGGAGAAGGGCCAGGCUCCCUAGGGGGGCAAGAGGGGGGAAUAUUGCCAAAUGGGGGGGAACCCGGAGGAGGAACGCCCGGUGGGGGAAAGAGGGCUUUGGGGUUGAAACCCCUUUCGCCUGGGGCGAAGGGUGGGGGACGGGAAAUGGUUAAAAAAGCACGGCUAAAUAAGUG
rnacentral:rRNA from 1 species